CCUACGGGAGGCAGCAGUGAGGAAUAUUGGUCAAUGGGCGAGAGCCUGAACCAGCCAAGUCGCGUGAGGGAGUACUGCCCUAUGGGUUGUAAACCUCUUUUGUCGGGGAGCAAAAGCCGGACGUGUCCGGCUGUGAGAGUACCCGAAGAAAAAGCAUCGGCUAACUCCGUGCCAGCAGCCGCGGUAAUACGGAGGAUGCGGGCGUUAUCCGGAUUUAUUGGGUUUAAAGGGUGCGCAGGCGGAUUUUUAAGUCAGCGGUAAAAUCGUGGGGCUCAACCCCAUCCAGCCGUUGAAACUGGGGAUCUAGAGUGUGCGAGAGGUAUGCGGAAUGCGUGGUGUAGCGGUGAAAUGCAUAGAUAUCACGCAGAACCCCGAUUGCGAAGGCAGCAUACCGGUGCACAACUGACGCUCAGGCACGAAAGCGUGGGUAUCGAACAGGAUUAGAUACCCGUGUAGUC
rnacentral:rRNA from 1 species